UAGAGCGAGACUCUGUCUCAAAAAAAAAAAAAAAAAAAAAAAAAAAAAAGAAAAAGCAGAACCCAGGUUUCUCAACUCCAUGUCCUGUGCUUUUCUGACUCUCCAGGAGCCAAGAGGUGUCUUCCUAGCACAGUCACGGGGAGGUAAUUCCCCCAGCACGGAGGGUCUGAGUCAAGGGUAAGCUCUGUGCAAGGUGUAUGGCUGGGCGCGAGAAGGUUACCUUGCCCGUAACCUUGCUGCUUACUCCAGUGAGAAAAAAGAAGCAAUCAGAAGAGCAUGUCCACCUGCUCCCCUCACUGCAUCUGCCUACCCACCCGCCUACCUAUCUACAUUUGCCAGGUACUCCGCCUGCCCUCUCCCUAUGAUCUGUUGUGUUUCUGUAGGCCUGAGCUCUACAUAUGCACUACAUACCAUUCCCUUUGGCUACUGCCAUAGUUUUAAAAGUAUGUCCACAAAUUCCUUCUGAAGUUGCCAAAUCUAACAAAUAAAAAUACAGGUCGUACCUUAACUUUGAGAUUCAGAUAAAGUCAUUAUUUAGUAUAAGAAUUCCCUAUGCAAUAUUUUGAAUACACCUAUACUAAGAAGCCUUUGUUUAUCUUUAUUUGGAUGUCUGGCCACCCUACUUUGUACUUAGUGACUCCCUUCUAACAAAUCAGAGUAAGGGAUGACAUGCAACUUCUAAUACUAGGUCAUAAAAGACACUGUGGUUCCCAUCUUAGUCUCUUGCUCUCUUGGAUGGCUUGCUCUGGGGGAAGGCAGCCAUGCUGUGAGGACAUUGAAGCAGCCCUGCGGAGAGGCCAUGUGGCAAGGAACGAUGGCUGCCUGCCGAAAGCCAUGUGUGGGAGCUUGGAAGAGGGCUCUUCUAGACCCAGGCAAGCCUUUAGAUGACUGUACCCUCAGGAGGAACUUGGACAGAAUCACCCUGCUAAGCUGGAUUCCUCAUCGACUGAAAUUGUGAGGACAACAAGCACAGAGAAAGAGACGAGUCGUGAGCAGCCCAGGAGUGGUCAAAGUGCGCCCGUGGGAAAAGCCAUCAUCAGACUCAGCGCAUUCCCUCUGCCUGCCCUUCAGCAACUCUCCAGAGCAAAAGCGGACACCUCCCCUGCUCUUGAAAACCCUCAAUGGUCAAGAAGCUUUGUCAAGUCCUCAUGAGCCUUGCACAGUGCCAGGUGCUGUACCUAAUGUAAGUGCCUCAUUUUACUCUAAUAAAAACUAAGUAUUAGGCUGAUCUACAGGAGGAAAUGAGAUUCACAGAGAUUAAGGGAACAGUCAAAAGACACAGAACUAGUAGGCAACAGACCUAGAAUUUGACCCUGUGUCAGGGUGGUUCCAAAUCCAAGCUCUUUCUACUACACUGCCAGCCUCCCAGGUGCCCGGAAGUGAUCCUGGCCCUCCUCCUCUAUCCUGAUGUCCUGACCUCUUGGUGUGCUGAGGGCGCUGGGUAAACAGAGCACCGCUGCCUGCAGAAUCUGGCCCCGUGGAAGACUGGCUGCCCACAGAACCAGGAGGCCCUUCAAGAAGGAAGGAAAAGAGGGGCCUGGGAAAGCCAGGGGUAGACGUGACAGAGCCUGACCUCAGGAAACAGGCCAAGGGCAUAAACACCCAACCCCCGGGGACAUUCCAGCCAGCAAAGUGUCCCUCUCUAAAUUUUAAAAAACCCCCAUCCCUGAGGGAGGCAACGUGGAAACAGAGAAGAGAAGGCAACAGGAAGCUGCAGUCCUUCCUUUGAGAAGAGGUGGACACUGAGCAAGAGUUUAGGGGGAAAGAAGCUGAGAAAGGACAGUACCGGUCCAGGGGUUGGAACAGCUGGAGGACUCCCUGGUACCACAGCACAAAUGGGGCUGAUUGCCCCAGGAACGAGAACAUACACACAUACCCCACCUUCCACACACCUUUUUUCUGUAAACAGACCGCAUUUCUCGGACCACGGAAGUGGACACGUGGCCAAGCUGUUCCCUGCCUUGGGAACAAGCCAAUCUGCACAGCAGAAGCAGCACAGAGAGCAGAGGCAGGGGGACAGGAAACACACAGAGAAAAGAGAGCAGGGGAGGCCUGAAGAGAGAAGGAACAAUGGUGAGACAGGAGGAGGAAGGGGGGAGUAGGGGAAGGAGAGAGAGAGAAAGAGGGAAACAGAGACAGAGUGCGCACGCGCUAGCUGACUGACCGUGGAGCCAUGGAUCUAGGUGUUCCUGAGGCCAGUUCCAUGUCCCAAGCAUGGUUAUGUAAAUUAAUGCAUUCUGCCUCUCGGCUUAUGCCAUUCGAAGUUAGGCUGUAUCAUUCACAGUCCAAAGAGUUACUAUUUCAGUUGUAUAUAAAGACCCUUAAAAAUCUAUAAAGGCACCUCCAAAAUCACAUCAACACUGGAAAAACUAAGGAAACCAAAGUUGGUUCUUUUUUUUUUUUUUUUUUUUUUUUUUGAGAUCCGGGUCUUGCUCUGUCG